rnacentral:rRNA from 1 species
UACGGGGGGAGCAAGCGUUGUUCGGAUUUACUGGGCGAAAAGGGCGCGUAGGCGGUCAGCACAAGUCAGUUGUGAAAUCUCCGGGCUUAACUCGGAAAGGUCAACUGAUACUGUGCGACUAGAGUGCAGAAGGGGCAACUGGAAUUCUCGGUGUAGCGGUGAAAUGCGUAGAUAUCGAGAGGAACACCUGCGGCGAAGGCGGGUUGCUGGGCUGACACUGACGCUGAUGCGCGAAAGCCAGGGGAGCGAACGGG